GGGAAGGGGAAGAGAAUAAAAAGGAAGGAGAAGAGAAGAGCUGCGCUGUCACUGCUACCGCCACCUCAAGAGGCCUUCCCAGGCGCUGGCCCAAGGAGGUCCCACAAAAACCACGACGUCAGGAAGAGAAUGCCUGUUCUCCUGUGAUCUCCAUCACGAACUGCUCGAGAUCGUCCUCUUCAGAGACGAGUGCUUCCCCCGCCUCUGCGCAGCUCAGCUGCUGUGUCUCAGCUGCGUCUUGUGAGGAAUAGGAUGGUGCACUUGAGACCUCCGACUGUGCCACGGAGUCCGCCUGGCUUCCUGGAAGCAGUUCCAGGCUUGGGAGGACAAGGAAGAGAACAAUCGGUACGUGACAUCUCUAACUGGAGAAGCGCUUUCAGCAAGAAGUCGUCCUCUGCGAAAACCUGUUUACUGACUGAGCUACUUUUCCCCACGACUUACUCAGCAGAGAUUUUGAGUAAGCAAUUGAAAUCAUUUCAGAGGACCUGUUCCUUUGUUGGAUUAUGCCACGACACAUCUCAA
rnacentral:lncRNA from 1 species